rnacentral:rRNA from 1 species
UAGGGAAUCUUCCACAAUGGACGCAAGUCUGAUGGAGCAACGCCGCGUGAGUGAAGAAGGUCUUCGGAUCGUAAAACUCUGUUGUUAGGGAAGAACACGAGUGAGAGUAACUGUUCAUUCGAUGACGGUAUCUAACCAGCAAGUCACGGCUAACUACGUGCCAG